rnacentral:rRNA from 1 species
GACGAGCUCUCCAAACGUUAUUCGGUAUUACUGGGCUUAAAGAGUUCGUAGGCGGUCUUGUAGGUGAGGUGUGAAAGCCCUCGGCUUAACCGAGGAAUUGCGCUUCAAACCACAAGGCUUGAGGGAGGUAGGGGUAUGCGGAACAGAUGGUGGAGCGGUGAAAUGCGUUGAUAUCAUCUGGAACACCGGUGGCGAAAGCGGCAUACUGGACCUUUUCUGACGCUGAGGAACGAAAGCUAGGGUAGCGAACGGG